rnacentral:tRNA from 2 species
AGGGCGUUAGCUCAAUUGGAAGAGCAGCAGUUUGCUAAACUGACGGAUGCAGGUUCGAGUCCUUGCACGCCUUU